AAGUCCUUCUCCCACACCCUUUUCAGAGUUGAGUUUAUCAGCUGAAUUUCCUUCCCCGUUUUCUCCUUGCAAGAACCACAGAACUGUUGUAACCUUCCCCGUUUUCUCCCUGUUUGUCAGUAAAGUCAAGGAGCACGAAUUCGACAAAUUGGGGGAAUUGGAAACUUUUGAAAUUCAAAUUGAAUCACUUUUAUCUCUCUCUCCAUAUUUGUUUUCAAAUUCUGGAUCUGUCUCAAAAUUAUUUUCCUCUUCCUGCUCCAGAAACUCACCUCGCCUUCUUUCUCUGCUAACGGUGCCGCUAGAUCAUCAACGACCGUGCAUACCUUCCUUGCACCGCCACCGCUCCCUCCCACGCCCAGCCGCCGCCGCCUCUAGGCCCCCCUCUCCCUCUCUCACUCCCAGUCGCUCUCUCGCUCUCUCUCUCCCUCAGCAGAUCUUCAACCGCGCCCUAAUCUCCAGAUCUCGCGCGUCCUCUCCCUCGAAGCCACACACAUCAACUUUCAAACCCCGGUGCUUCCGAAAAAUCCAUCGGGAAUUGGUAUUAAGGAAAGGUAUCACCUUGUGCUGAGACAGAAGCUUUCAGGGUUCUUUGUGAAUUUUUUUAGAGCUUUUGAUUUCUAUCUGGGGCCUGGAGUUUGGAGAGCUUGAUAGGUGAAGAUGCUAACAUAUGGAGAAUCCAGAAUUCACUUGAAGAGGGUAUUGCAAGUCGGGACUGUGUGAUCCUGGCUUUUCCAUCGGAUCGAAAUGCACAGCUUGAAAGCAUUUUGACAGAGCAUUGCAGAUCGAUGAACUCUUACAUGUGAUAUGGACGGAUCUCUAGCCUUUUCAUGGAUCACGAACAUGGAACUUUGAGCUCCAUCAGAUAUGGUCGGUUCAUGCUUCCUAAAUCUGGGUUUUGUUGAAAUGAGGGCCUGAAGAUCUGUAUAUCUCAAGACUGAGAGAUCAAAGAUGAUAUGUCUAAAUGAGGAGAAAAAACCUGAAGAGAGGAAAGCUCAUGCUCUGUUUGAGAUUUUGUGUUCAUAGGUCAACUUGGAGAUCGACAAAGCAAUUAGAGUGCGCAAAGUACUGUUUUAUUUGAAAUCUUGGUAUGUGCAUAGUUACCUAAGCUAUUUGUGGAACCAUGCAGCAAGUACAAGGGUGCAAAAAUAUGGAUGGGGAACUAAUGAGGAUCUGAUCAUAUCGAUCUUGGGUCAUCGGAAUGCUGCUCAAAGGAAGCCUAUCAGGGAAACUUGUGCUGAAACUUAUGGAGAAGAUCUUCUCAAGGCCUUGGACAAAGAGUUGACCAGUGACUUUGAGAUAUGCACUAUGAAUUUUCUCCUCACUAGAGGCUGGUUCACGUUUGGGCCCUUGAUUCCGCAAAACGUGAUGCAUUUUUGGAAAACGAAGCAACUGAGAGAUGGACUUCAAGCAAUCAGGUGCUGGUGGAAAUAGCCUGCACUAGGUCCUCUGAACAAUUGUUUGCUACGAGAAAGGCUUAUCAUGCUCUUAAUAAAAAGUCUCUUGAGAAGGAUGUUGCUCAUCAUACAACAGAGGACUUCCGUAAGUGGAUCAACUGAUAGAAACAUAAGCAUUUGGAAGAGAGAUGCUUUUGGGUGAAAGAAUUAGAUCUGAAGGCAAUGUUAGUGCAGCAUGUUGACACCACUGACUCUACUAUGCUGCCAGCUGAAGAAUCACAAAAGUGGUUGAGCAGAAACUUUUGUUUUUCUUUUUCUCAACAAGUUUAUGUUGCUAGGUUCAUAUGAAAUGCUAUUGGGAGAGGAAAUGUCAGAGCCGAGAUAGAGAGGGAAUUGGAAGCACUAGAAUAAUAUAAUUUUGAGAUCACGUUUCUUGGAACAACUUCGCUGUGAGGAUUUUUUUUCUAAGUAUUUUGUAGUGAGCUUAUGUUUGCUCAUUUAUCAAACAAUCUUUUGGUUUGUAGAUUUGUUGUCUCUGAAUUGCAUGUCCAGCUUUUUGUUGAACACUUUGUGGUUUUAGUUCAAUGCAGAGAAUGUUCGGUGUCUCAUGAUGAGAUAUCUCUUCUUGCUUAUAUAAAUAAUAAUGAAUGAGAACUGUAACAUGUAA